rnacentral:rRNA from 1 species
CGCUGAAGCUUGGUGCUUGCACUGGGUGGAUGAGUGGCGAACGGGUGAGUAAUACGUGAGUAACCUGCCCUUGACUCUGGGAUAAGCCUGGGAAACUGGGUCUAAUACUGGAUAUGACCUCCUGUCGCAUGGUGGGGGGUGGAAAGGGUUUGUACUGGUUGUGGAUGGGCUCACGGCCUAUCAGCUUGUUGGUGGGGUAAUGGCCUACCAAGGCGACGACGGGUAGCCGGCCUGAGAGGGUGACCGGCCACACUGGGACUGAGACACGGCCCAGACUCCUACGGGAGGCAGCAGUGGGGAAUAUUGCACAAUGGGCGCAAGCCUGAUGCAGCGACGCCGCGUGAGGGAUGACGGCCUUCGGGUUGUAAACCUCUUUCAGCACGGAAGAAGCGAAAGUGACGGUACGUGCAGAAGAAGCGCCGGCUAACUACGUGCCAGCAGCCGCGGUAAUACGUAGGGCGCAAGCGUUGUCCGGAAUUAUUGGGCGUAAAGAGCUCGUAGGCGGUUUGUCGCGUCUGCUG